rnacentral:rRNA from 1 species
AGGACGAACGCCGGCGGCGUGCUUAACACAUGCAAGUCAAGGGGGCCCAGUAGCAAUACUGGGCAACCGGCGAACGGGUGCGUAACACGUGAGCAACCUACCGAAAUGUGGGGGAUAGCCGGCCUAACGGCCGAGUAAUACCGCAUACGCUCUCGAUGAGGCAUUUCAUUGAGAGGAAACCUACGGGACAUUUCGAGGGGCUCGCGGCCUAUCAGCUAGUUGGAGAGGUAACGGCUCACCAAGGCAACGACGGGUAGC